GUGACCCCGUGGGCCAUAGCCCGCCAGGCUCCUCUAUCCGUGGGAUUCUCCAGGCAAGAAUACUGGAGUGGGUUGCCAUGCCCUCCUCCAGGCGGUCUUCCUGACCCAGGGACAGAACCCAGGUCUCCUGCACUGCAGGCGACGCUUUACCGCCGAGUCGCCGGGAAAGCCGUGGAGGGGCACACACACACGUGAACCACUGUCGUCACUCGCAAUGGCUGCAAUGUUGGCCCCAGCCCAGCUCAGAGGGGCUGGCAGCCGGAUCUCGGGUGGAUGGAGUUCCUGCUACCUUAGGACCAGAGGAGACCCAGGACACCAAGGGUAAUUGGGGCAGCCUCACCAGCUAAGUGCCUCCCUCCUGCUUCUAAGGCUUCCACAUUCUAGAUCUGCAUCUCAGCAAAAUUACAGGUGGAGCUGACCUGUUUGCGGUGGAGUCUCUCUCCUCUAUGCAGAAGUCUGAAUAAAAUCUGUCUUGCCAUGAGUAAGACAUGUCCAGCUCCAUUUUUCUUUGACGAGACUUGGCUUCCUGACCUGGAAAAUGGAGAUAUGAGUGUUCUUCUUCUAUACGUUACUCUGUGAUUAUGACUAUACUCACAGUAACAGGUUGUGGCCAUUUGGACUGUCUCCUAAAGCAGAAACCACACUUGUUACACGUGCAAAUGUGAUUUGCAUUCAGUUGAUGGUGAACUGAAUAAGAGAAAGACUCCCAGGUACACAAAAGCAAAAGCAGCAGUUGAAAGUGGAACCGUUUAUCUCAGAUUGGGACUUGAAUCCAUGUGGCUGGGACUUGAACCCAGCUUAAACCCAGAGUGCCUGGUUUCAAGACCCAAUGAAGCUCAGGUUCUUGGUCUAUCAUUGCAGAAAUGAUUCAGUGAGAGACAAAGUGAUAGGUAAGAAAUGGAUUUAUUUGAAGAGGAACACACUCCAUAGACAGUGUGGACCAUCUCAGAGGGUGAGUCUGGCCACCUCAAAAUGUGGUGUGGUUAGUUUUUAUGGGCUGGGUAAUUUCAUAGGCUAAUGAGUGAGAGGAUUAUUCCAGCUAUUUUGGAGAAGGGGUGGAGAUUUCCAGGAGUUGGGCUACUGCCCACUUUUUGGUCUUUUGGUGGUACCUUGGAACUGUCAUGGUGCCUCUGAGUAUAUCAUUUAGCUUACUGAUAGAAGAUCAAGGUCUAAUCAAAGUUGAAUUGUCUGCCAUCUGGGACCCAUUGAUUCUAAUUGGUUUAUAUUAUAUCUCUGGGCUAUGUCGUUCUUUCAGAAGUUGUGCCCUGCUACCUUCCCUCCUGUUUCAAAAGCAUCUUUACAUUUGCCUGCUGCGAAGGAGAAUAUACAGGGGAUAUAGCUCAAAGUCCACAGUCCAGCCCAAGAUGGAGUCCGGCUUUCAAGAUGGAACCUGUUCUGUCUGUUUCCUCCUUCAAAACCACAGGGUGAGCCAGGACAAGUCUCUUCCAGUUACAAGUCCGGUCUGGCCCACACAGUUCUUCUUCCUGAAGGAGCGUGUCCACGUGCCCAGGGAGAUGACUUUCCCACAAGCUCUGCAGAGAGGAGUGAUUCCGAGAACAGCCAGAAGGUCUGGGUUGAAUUGAGCCCCACCACUAACUAGCUGGGUUAGGGCAAAUUACUUAACCACUGUGAGGAUCAGGUUCC
ensembl:lncRNA